CCCCGGCGAGGGGAGUGAAAAAGAACCUGAAACCGUGUACGUACAAGCAGUGGGAGCCUCUUUUAUGGGGUGACUGCGUACCUUUUGUAUAAUGGGUCAGCGACUUAUAUUCUGUAGCAAGGUUAACCGAAUAGGGGAGCCGAAGGGAAACCGAGUCUUAACUGGGCGUUAAGUUGCAGGGUAUAGACCCGAAACCCGGUGAUCUAGCCAUGGGCAGGUUGAAGGUUGGGUAACACUAACUGGAGGACCGAACCGACUAAUGUUGAAAAAUUAGCGGAUGACUUGUGGCUGGGGGUGAAAGGCCAAUCAAACCGGGAGAUAGCUGGUUCUCCCCGAAAGCUAUUUAGGUAGCGCCUCGUGAACUCAUCUCCGGGGGUAGAGCACUGUUUCGGCAAGGGGGUCAUCCCGACUUACCAACCCGAUGCAAACUGCGAAUACCGGAGAAUGUUAUCACGGGAGACACACGGCGGGUGCUAACGUCCGUCGUGAAGAGGGAAACAACCCAGACCGCCAGCUAAGGUCCCAAAGUCAUGGUUAAGUGGGAAACGAUGUGGGAAGGCCCAGACAGCCAGGAUGUUGGCUUAGAAGCAGCCAUCAUUUAAAGAAAGCGUAAUAGCUCACUGGUCGAGUCGGCCUGCGCGGAAGAUGUAACGGGGCUAAACCAUGCACCGAAGCUGCGGCAGCGACGCUGAUGCGUUGUUGGGUAGGGGAGCGUUCUGUAAGCCUGUGAAGGUGUGCUGUGAGGCAUGCUGGAGGUAUCAGAAGUGCGAAUGCUGACAUAAGUAACGAUAAAGCGGGUGAAAAGCCCGCUCGCCGGAAGACCAAGGGUUCCUGUCCAACGUUAAUCGGGGCAGGGUGAGUCGACCCCUAAGGCGAGGCCGAAAGGCGUAGUCGAUGGGAAACAGGUUAAUAUUCCUGUACUUGGUGUUACUGCGAAGGGGGGACGGAGAAGGCUAUGUUGGCCGGGCGACGGUUGUCCCGGUUUAAGCGUGUAGGCUGGUUUUCCAGGCAAAUCCGGAAAAUCAAGGCUGAGGCGUGAUGACGAGGCACUACGGUGCUGAAGCAACAAAUGCCCUGCUUCCAGGAAAAGCCUCUAAGCAUCAGGUAACAUCAAAUCGUACCCCAAACCGACACAGGUGGUCAGGUAGAGAAUACCAAGGCGCUUGAGAGAACUCGGGUGAAGGAACUAGGCAAAAUGGUGCCGUAACUUCGGGAGAAGGCACGCUGAUAUGUAGGUGAAGUCCCUCGCGGAUGGAGCUGAAAUCAGUCGAAGAUACCAGCUGGCUGCAACUGUUUAUUAAAAACACAGCACUGUGCAAACACGAAAGUGGACGUAUACGGUGUGACGCCUGCCCGGUGCCGGAAGGUUAAUUGAUGGGGUCAGCGCAAGCGAAGCUCUUGAUCGAAGCCCCGGUAAACGGCGGCCGUAACUAUAACGGUCCUAAGGUAGCGAAAUUCCUUGUCGGGUAAGUUCCGACCUGCACGAAUGGCGUAAUGAUGGCCAGGCUGUCUCCACCCGAGACUCAGUGAAAUUGAACUCGCUGUGAAGAUGCAGUGUACCCGCGGCAAGACGGAAAGACCCCGUGAACCUUUACUAUAGCUUGACACUGAACAUUGAGCCUUGAUGUGUAGGAUAGGUGGGAGGCUUAGAAGUGUGGACGCCAGUCUGCAUGGAGCCGACCUUGAAAUACCACCCUUUAAUGUUUGAUGUUCUAACGUGGACCCGUGAUCCGGGUUGCGGACAGUGUCUGGUGGGUAGUUUGACUGGGGCGGUCUCCUCCUAAAGAGUAACGGAGGAGCACGAAGGUUGGCUAAUCCUGGUCGGACAUCAGGAGGUUAGUGCAAUGGCAUAAGCCAGCUUGACUGCGAGCGUGACGGCGCGAGCAGGUGCGAAAGCAGGUCAUAGUGAUCCGGUGGUUCUGAAUGGAAGGGCCAUCGCUCAACGGAUAAAAGGUACUCCGGGGAUAACAGGCUGAUACCGCCCAAGAGUUCAUAUCGACGGCGGUGUUUGGCACCUCGAUGUCGGCUCAUCACAUCCUGGGGCUGAAGUAGGUCCCAAGGGUAUGGCUGUUCGCCAUUUAAAGUGGUACGCGAGCUGGGUUUAGAACGUCGUGAGACAGUUCGGUCCCUAUCUGCCGUGGGCGCUGGAGAACUGAGGGGGGCUGCUCCUAGUACGAGAGGACCGGAGUGGACGCAUCACUGGUGUUCGGGUUGUCAUGCCAAUGGCACUGCCCGGUAGCUAAAUGCGGAAGAGAUAAGUGCUGAAAGCAUCUAAGCACGAAACUUGCC
rnacentral:rRNA from 1 species